GGACGAACGCGGGCGGCGUGCUUUACACAUGCAAGUCUGGGAGAAACGGGUAGCAAUAUCCGGAGUAAACCGGCGAACGGGUGAGUAACACGUAGGCAACCUUCCUUGUGAACGGGGAUAACUCCGCGAAAGCGGGACUAAUACCCGAUGAUAUUCCGGUGUAGCAUUAUGCUGGAAUCAAAGGCCCCAAAAGGGCGUCAUAAGAUGGGCCUGCGUCCCAUUAGAUAGUUGGCGGGGUAACGGCCCACCAAGUCAACGAUGGGUAGCUGGUCUGAGAGGACGAUCAGCCACACUGGAACUGAGACACGGUCCAGACUUCUACGGAAGGCAGCAGUGAGGAAUAUUGCUCAAUGGGCGAAAGCCUGAAGCAGCGACGCCGCGUGAGGGAUGAAAUCCGUUAGGAUGUAAACCUCUUUUGCGAGGGAAGAAUACUCCGUUUUACGGAGGGUGACUGUACCUCGUGAAUAAGCACCGGCCAACUACGUGCCAGCAGCCGCGGUAAUACGUAGGGUGCAAGCGUUGUCCGGAAUUACUGGGUGUAAAGGGUCCGCAGGCGGGUAAGCAAGUCGGUGGUGAAAUUCUAUCGCUCAACGGUAGAACUGCCGUCGAUACUGCUUAUCUUGAGUUCGAGAGAGGGUAGUGGAAUUCAUGGUGUAGCGGUGAAAUGCGUAGAUAUCAUGAAGAACACCAGUAGCGAAGGCGGCUACCUGGCUCGAUACUGACGCUCAGGGACGAAAGCGUGGGUAGCAAACAGGAUUAGAUACCCUGGUAGUCCACGCCUUAAACGAUGGAUGUUCGGUGUCGGACCGAAAGGUUCGGUGCCUGAGCUAACGCGUUAAACAUCCCACCUGGGGAGUACGAUCGCAAGGUUGAAACU
rnacentral:rRNA from 1 species